GCGCCUCGUGAAUUCAUCUCCGGGGGUAGAGCACUGUUUCGGCUAGGGGGCCAUCCCGGCUUACCAACCCGAUGCAAACUGCGAAUACCGGAGAAUGUUAUCACGGGAGACACACGGCGGGUGCUAACGUCCGUCGUGAAGAGGGAAACAACCCAGACCGCCAGCUAAGGUCCCAAAGUCAUGGUUAAGUGGGAAACGAUGUGGGAAGGCCCAGACAGCCAGGAUGUUGGCUUAGAAGCAGCCAUCAUUUAAAGAAAGCGUAAUAGCUCACUGGUCGAGUCGGCCUGCGCGGAAGAUGUAACGGGGCUAAACCAUGCACCGAAGCUGCGGCAGCGACACUGUGUGUUGUUGGGUAGGGGAGCGUUCUGUAAGCCUGUGAAGGUGUGUCGUGAGGCAUGCUGGAGGUAUCAGAAGUGCGAAUGCUGACAUAAGUAACGAUAAAGCGGGUGAAAAGCCCGCUCGCCGGAAGACCAAGGGUUCCUGUCCAACGUUAAUCGGGGCAGGGUGAGUCGACCCCUAAGGCGAGGCCGAAAGGCGUAGUCGAUGGGAAACGGGUUAAUAUUCCCGUACUUGGUGUUACUGCGAAGGGGGGACGGAGAAGGCUAUGUUGGCCGGGCGACGGUUGUCCCGGUUUAAGCGUGUAGGUGUGUGUUCCAGGUAAAUCCGGUUCACUUUAACACUGAGGCGUGACGACGAGGCACUACGGUGCUGAAGCAACAAAUGCCCUGCUUCCAGGAAAAGCCUCUAAGCAUCAGGUAACAUCAAAUCGUACCCCAAACCGACACAGGUGGUCAGGUAGAGAAUACCAAGGCGCUUGAGAGAACUCGGGUGAAGGAACUAGGCAAAAUGGUGCCGUAACUUCGGGAGAAGGCACGCUGACACGUAGGUGAAGUGAUUUACUCAUGGAGCUGAAGUCAGUCGAAGAUACCAGCUGGCUGCAACUGUUUAUUAAAAACACAGCACUGUGCAAACACGAAAGUGGACGUAUACGGUGUGACGCCUGCCCGGUGCCGGAAGGUUAAUUGAUGGGGUCAGCGCAAGCGAAGCUCCUGAUCGAAGCCCCGGUAAACGGCGGCCGUAACUAUAACGGUCCUAAGGUAGCGAAAUUCCUUGUCGGGUAAGUUCCGACCUGCACGAAUGGCGUAAUGAUGGCCAGGCUGUCUCCACCCGAGACUCAGUGAAAUUGAACUCGCUGUGAAGAUGCAGUGUACCCGCGGCAAGACGGAAAGACCCCGUGAACCUUUACUAUAGCUUGACACUGAACAUUGAGCCUUGAUGUGUAGGAUAGGUGGGAGGCUUUGAAGUGUGGACGCCAGUCUGCAUGGAGCCGACCUUGAAAUACCACCCUUUAAUGUUUGAUGUUCUAACGUGGACCCGUUACCCGGGUUGCGGACAGUGUCUGGUGGGUAGUUUGACUGGGGCGGUCUCCUCCUAAAGAGUAACGGAGGAGCACG
rnacentral:rRNA from 1 species